rnacentral:lncRNA from 1 species
UUACUUCUGAUCACAUCUUUGAAUUCUUUAUUUUGUUCAAUUUUUCAUGAGUUUUGCGCUCGGUUCAAUUUCCUUUGUGGAUUAUCGUUGUUCGGGAUUGUUAUUUUGUUUUAACGAUUUUUCGAAUAAAUCAUCAUUUCCGAUGGAUAAAAUGUUUUUCGUUUUUUUCUCUUUCGCAAUCGAACGAUCGGCGCUGUCCUUGCUGACAGAACAGUCCAUGGCCGCACCUUUACUCGAGAGCACUCGAGAUCUCAUGCUGAAAGAUCGUUUUGUGUGGAAAAUUCAGUGCAGCACGUGCAGCAAUGAAACUGCGUUUUUUAAGGGGCGACGGAGGCGAUACCGAGCGUUUUCGGUUGUCGUGACUCGAUCGCAUUUUUCUUCCGAUUUCGGCUUAUUUCAUGGUACGAAUAAUGAGGAAUUGAUAAAAAAAAAACGGCCGUGGCUCUCGAUUAUUUCGCUACGGAUUUGCCGCAGCUAUACGCCUGCGCGUGUGUGUUCUGCUUCGUCGAUACGCAUUCCUCGAGUAUCCUUGGUUGGGAGGAAGUAAAAGGGUUAAAAAGGGCUCGACGAUCGGGGCCGAUUCAAGAUGGAGAGGGCCGCCUCGAGGCCGUCCGUCCAGCGUUUUUCGUCGCCUUUUUAUGCUCGCUACACACACACACACGCGCGCCCGCGAGCCUCUUUCACCUUUCGCACUUUCCGCCUCCGGAUAAAUCGCCACGCACGCGAUAAUAUUUACAGAAAUCUUCAAACGAGUGUAUCGAUACCUACCGAAUGUGUCCGUGCGUGCGCGGCGUGCUUCGCGAUGGUGAAUCCAGUAAAUAUCACGAGAUGUUUUGAAGCACUGUGCAGGGGAACGACUGCGAUUGUUUGGCGAUGAAAAAUUCACUGGCGAGCCGUCAAAAUGUUGCCCGAGUCUCGACUUCACUCUCAAAUCGGAACGACUGCGAUUGUUUGGCGAUGAAAAAUUCACUGGCGAGCCGUCAAAAUGUUGCCCGAGUCUCGACUUCACUCUCAAAUACGCGAAUUUUGUUUCGUAUUGCAAGGAUUCAACAAUAAAAUUGUGCUCGAAUGAAAAAUAAAGUUUUUUUUAUGUUUAAUAUACUCGUAAAAUACCAAUAAAAACUGUACAGAGCUGUAAAAAAUAACAAAGAAAAAACAUUACUUUUUAUCUGUUUUUAACUACAAUUACACUCAGCCUCGACGAGUUCGUGACUGAGGAGAAAAAAAAAUGGCUUUUAUCGUUUGUGAUUCGUCAUCCGAGAAUAUAUCCGAGGAGAGCGUGAAAAGGGUGUUAACAGUGUUAAUUGCAAGGCGGCGAGAUCUCUGUUGACGGUAGGCUCGCGAGCGCUAAAAGGAAAACCUCAGCACGGUGUAAAUCGAAAUACAUUUUUCGUGCGGUCGAUUCCAGGGGUGUAAUAAAACUUAUUAGCGCUCGGGGGUGGUUAAACGAAAUAAAAAAAAGUAGAAGGCGUUGAAAAUGAACAAUAACGUAUAACAGCAAUAAAAAACGCACGAAUUGAAAAAAACGUUUGAAAAAUACAGAAGAAUAUUUAGAUAAGACGAAAAAUCGACGUGGUCAAAAAAAUGUUCAAUAAAAUCACAAAACGAAUAGCGAAGUUUGGUUAGACCAAAGGUAACACAAUCUUCCUCCGGUGCGCGUUCGGUGGGCUAUUUCUCGACCCUCGAUGCUGCUGUAACACGAGACACGAGGGCAGUUAGCAUACGCCCGACUAAUUUGUGAAAUUUAAUCAACUGCUCGGUUCACGACGCGCUUGAGUGCACUCUGGCGGCUCACUUCGCAACUAAAUUUCACCAUUCGUUUCAGGAGGUUAUGUGUGCCAACACGAAUACGCCAAUGUGUGUACGAACUCUGCGGGGGGUGCGUGCACGCGAUUUCGAAAACUUUCGGCCGUUAGGUUUUCCAAAAUCAACGAAUCGAAAAACAGCACGUGCAACGGUUUCGGAUUCCCCAAAUGAAAUCGAUCGUUUUACUUUUGAAUCUGAGGAAAUUGCAUAUUCUUAUUAUUCCCAGACCACCAGAAAGAAGUGAAUUUAACCGGGGAUGAAAAAAAAAACAAAAUAAAAAGUUGAAAGAAACUUACGAAUUCGAAGCGCGUGCGAAAAGCCAAGUAUAAAUAUGUUUGUACGUGGUCAACGCAUAUAACAUACACAUAGAAUUUAAACGAUUUAAAUAAUUCAUCUCGUCGUCUCGUCGCGAGAGAGGAUAUACAAACGUAGCCAUAGGGACUCGGGCGGUCAAGCAAUCGCGCAGGAAAUCUGCGUCACGGCAAUUAGAUGCUAAUCUCAGUCGGUUGGUGGUGCGGAGAGCAAGAGAGAAAUAGAUAGAGAAACAAGUGACAAAAAGCACUGAAAAGAAGCGAAGACGCGAGAUCCAUCAGCAUAUAUAUAGAACAAUUUAGAGUUGCGACUGCAAAGAGCGAAAAAUGAGAAAGACUGAGAAAGUGCAGUGAACUAAACCCACGUAAAUUUUCUCGCGUAAUACGGAAAUGACGCAACCGCUGAUUAUUUUGAAAUAUAUAUAUAUAUAUAUAUGUGGGACAAAAUGUUUGUUGGUCGUCGAAGGACGAAACCACCUCGAUAGAGCUGGAAAAAUAUUUUAGCCGACAAAAUACGCGUGGCGAUUUUUCGUAAUAAAAUAGAAAAACGGACGAUCCCGUGAACAUAGCUUUGUAUUUUUUGUAAUGAAAAUCCGACUGAGGUGCAGCCGACAUUUCUAGAGAAUGAAAUUCUAUACGAUAAAUUUUGUCAGAUACAUAACCUCAAUGACCUCUACGGAAAUAGUAACCGACGUAUUUGAUAUUUGUACUUGAAUUCUCUCGACCCUAACCUCCUUUCUGUGUCUCUGGACCAAAUGAUAAAUAUAUGAAAUCCAUAAAAAAUGAAUUCGAAGUAACGAAAUAAUUGCGAUCUCUGUUCCUUCCUGUAAAACUGAGAAUCCAUAAACGUUUGUCGCCGAUAUAAAAAGCGAAAACGUCCGGUUUUUAUCCAUAGAACAUACCAGUAUGGAAGAAUUCACUGCGCAAAGAAGUAGGCAGCGUUCGAGUAUGUACGCAUGUCACUCACGUAUCGUGUGCUGUGGCACAAGGGAAACGUGACUAUUCGAUUUUUCUUGCACCGACGCCGCACGUGUCGCAUAUAGAAAAUUGAUGGCCGGUUGUGGACGGCACGAGUCACAACAUCUGCUAGAAUAUAUGAAAGUCCGAUCUCCGAGAGUUGACGACACAUUUUUUGUGCCGUUCUAACCUCCAAUUAUUAUUUUAUGAAUGCAGAAUAGCAAUUUUGAGGAAAAAAGUUUAAGAGAUAAUACUUGCCGGUAUGAAAAUCAAAUCUGGCAAAAAAUUGGACUAAAAACAAAGAAAUUGCCGUAAACAAUGGUAAAAAUUUGAUAACCUAAAAUAUGUUAUGCGCUCCAGCGCCAUCGCCCGUCUCGAAACUGAACUUUUCAAUACAUCGCGGACAUGAAUCGUACGGGCAGAGGUUUAAUGCAGUCUAAGCGAUGUUCGAUGCGAAGCCCUGCAUAAAUUUGAUCCACGUCUUUCGGUUCGCAUAUAAACAAUGCGGGGUCUUGGUAUCUGCGUACAAUGGAUCUCUUGUCUUCGUUCCACUCAGACUUCUUUGUAUGAGGGUGUCCCUACGACGCUUCACCUUCGCAAUAAAAGAGAGCAAACGCGUAUGAGGGAGGAGGCUCCCUUUUAACCCGCGAGAGUUGGCGCCCGAGCGCGAUCGAGUUCGGUAUAUAACGCAACCGGGCGCGGCUAUCCUUCCCAUGCAUUUGCUUUCUUUUUGGCCUUUUACAUGGCGAACUCGAGGAAGGGCAACAAUCGACGUUGUCCGCCUCCACCCUCCGGUAUGUAUAUGCAGCCGCACCCACACACUCGAGCGACAAGAGAAAAGAGUACGACCGCAAGCGCUCUCGAGAGUUCGCCUCAUCAUCAACACUCGUAACUUAUCUCAUGUUUAUUUUUAUUCGUUUUCAUCCGAAUGUUAACCGCUUCAAGCAGUUUUCGAAAAAAAAAAAAAAAAAAAAACAACUGACAGAAUUUCAACGGCUUUGCUCUUGAAACGUUUCUAUUUUCUUUAUUAUCCAAUUAGAUUUUCAGUACAGUCAAUGAGGCACGUACUUAAAAUGGCGUUUUUAGCAAUGAAAUUUAUUUUUAUCGACAAUUCCGUUGGCAACGUGACACCAGAAAAAACUCUUGAUUCAAUUUAUGGGAAUGUACGAUGGGUUGGAAAAAUUCGAAAAAUUUUUGACGUUUGAUACAUUUUUUAUGAAUUACUGAACCAGAAGUACGUGAAGUAGCAACGAUUUUUGACGGUUUCAUACAAAUAUAUUUGAUGAAUUUAGCCUGUUAGAAAGUCUUGGGGAUACGAGACCGUCGAAGUAUCAUGCAUAAUGCAGUAAAUUUCUCUCGGGAUGACUCUGCAAAAUUCGGUGGAAUAUUUUUUCCAACUCCUUUUCUUUUUUCAUUCUCAGUCUCGUUCUCGAACGACCGAACGAUCCGAUUAAGCGUUUUUUUUUAUAAAUUUUUCUCAACGAUUUAAUGUCUAGUCGUGAUGCCAUGUGCUCGGAUGCCGAGUCACAACUAACAAGUUUUGGGCACGUCCAUAAUUCCUACUGGGUAAACUCGAGACACACGCACGCGCAGUUUCUUCCCGAAUUUCCUGGCUGUCACAUUCACGAAUGCGGGGUGUGUACAACUCGGGAUUUAGAUUUUCAAGUUUGAAAGAUGACGAUGCCGAACGGAGAUAAAAACGAGAGAUUGAGGCAACGAGAAAAUGACGAGUGAAAAAUAAUGUGGAAACUACUCGGGAGAGUCGCAACCGUUGAAUCACUCUUGUAACCAUAUUUUUCGUUCUACUUGUCCUACGCAUUCGUUACGAUUUGUUCAACAUCCUUGACGCAGGACUUGGUAGGUAUAACGAAUGCAAAUCGUGAUGAGAUUCGUUCGAUAGAAUGGUCGAACACUUUCAAACCUCUCGUCCAAGUUUCAAGCAAACUUUAAGAAAAUUCGAGCGAAUUGAAAUUUGAGGUUAUGAUUUACGAAGAAUGGAAUGUUCCUCAAUUCAAUAACGUAGCAAUACGAAGAGGAUAAAAUCUCAAACGAUUAAUCACAGUGCACACGAUGAUGAAGAUGUCGAAAUGUAGAAAGAGUGAGAAAAAGAGUCCAUAACUUUCCGGGUAACACGGACGGAGACGCGUCAGAAGAUCACGAACGAGAGAAUACGAGCUUGAGCUUGUAUUUUUUAUUUCAUUUUCUCGUCGGUUGUGUGGCGCGAGUAUCGUAUGCCCACGUGCAUAAGAAAAGAAACGGGAUUAUUAUACGCCCUUUGCGGUGUGUGUAUAUAAUGUUUGAGAUAUGGCGAGAUGCACGGAAGAACAGAAGGAGAGAGACAAAAACUGGGAAAGAAAGAGGGCGCGAGUGAGAGAGAGAGAAAGCCGGUUUAUCAGCGGCGAUCUCGACUCUCUCGACUCUUGGUCGUAUACUCGCUCUCCGAGCAAAAGAGAAUCUUCCAAAAUUUCAAACUUCCGGAGAACUCGGUCCCCGACUUGUCAAAUAUUCAACGAGGACUCCGACGAUCGACGCUUCAGCCACUCUUUUUCUUUUCGUCAUCGAAUCUCGCGAUAGCUUGCCAACUCCGAUGGCGAAGCGGUGCAUCGACGCCGUUGCGGAAAUGGCUUCUUAUCACUACAGCCCGAAAUAUCUGUUGGUGUUCUCAAAAAAAUAAAGUUCACUUUACAGCCUUAA